GACGAACGCUGGCGGCGUGCCUAAUACAUGCAAGUAGAACGCACAGUUUAUACCGUAGCUUGCUACACCAUAGACUGUGAGUUGCGAACGGGUGAGUAACGCGUAGGUAACCUGCCUGGUAGCGGGGGAUAACUAUUGGAAACGAUAGCUAAUACCGCAUAAUAUUAAUUAUUGCAUGAUAAUUAAUUGAAAGUUGCAAUUGAACCACUACCAGAUGGACCUGCGUUGUAUUAGCUAGUAGGUGAGGUAACGGCUCACCUAGGCGACGAUACAUAGCCGACCUGAGAGGGGGAUCGGCCACACUGGGACUGAGACACGGCCCAGACUCCUACGGGAGGCAGCAGUAGGGAAUCUUCGGCAAUGGACGAAAGUCUGACCGAGCAACGCCGCGUGAGUGAAGAAGGGUUUCGGAUCGUAAAGCUCUGUUGUAAGAGAAGAACGGGUGGGAGAGUGGAAAGUUCACACUGUGACGGUAUCUUACCAGAAAGGGACGGCUAACUACGUG
rnacentral:rRNA from 1 species